GAUCUUUUUGACACAUGCACCGGAGCGUCAGCUUCAAGCGGACCAUCACUACCUCUCACAUCUAAAGCUGAUCAGCAGGAGGAGAAGAGUCUGACGGAGCAGCAGAGGAACAUUUUCAGCUACUUGGAUUCAGCUCAGCCACUACAGAGAAAACAAUGAGCUCAACACAGAAGGACCUGCUGAGACCAUUUCAGUAAUCGUCUUCUUAACUCAGACGCACACUCUACAGGACGCAGCGGUAGCAUCUGUUCCACAAUGUAGCCUGGCAGGGCUGGACUGGGACAAAAAAUCGGCCCAGGCAUUUUGACUAGAGACCGGCCCACCAGGUAUUAUAGGAAAAUCCAUAAAGCCUUUGAAUGAAAACAAACGCUGUUGUCACAGUGAUGUACACUGUCUUGUUGGUAUAUAUGUAUCAAACUUAGUGGUGCAACGGAUCAAAAAUCUCACGGUUCGGAUCGGAUCACGGUUUUAAAGUCACAGAUCGGAUCAAUUUUCGGAUCAGCAAAAAUAGGAAAAAAAAGACAAAUUCUACUCGCCGUUUACUUAUUUAAGUAUUUUUUGUCUAUUAAAAAAAACAUUCAACUGAAGACUCAUUCCACACACUUAUAUAAAAACUAAUUAAGGUGCAAUAUGGACAUUAUGGAACAUUCUGGGCAGCCUCUGCAUCCUCUGCAUACGGCCAUAAACAACCAGAGGAGUCUGUUCAGUGACAGGUUGCUUCUCCUAAAGUCAAGGACCAGCAGACUGAAAAAGUCCUUUGUCCCACAGGCCAACAAACUGUUUAACUCCUCGCUGGAGGGGAAACGGGGACAGAGGAGGGGGAAACAAGUAAGCUGUAGUGCAUUUUCACUGUGCAAUAGUUUUUGUUAAUAUCCAACGGUGCAAUAGACUCACAAUACUUGAAAUGUGCCGUUCCCUUGUAUUCUUAUUCCUAUUUAUUCUAUUUAUCCCUUUUGUAUACUCUGUAUUUAUAUAUGUGUAAACAUGGUAUAUUUCUGCUCACAUUCUGCAACUUCUGUUGGUGCUGUGCUACUGGAAACUGAAUUUCCCGGAGGAACCCACCCGAGAAAUAAAUAAAUUUUCAUCUAAUCUAAUAUAAUCUAUAGGGCAGUGCAGGGCUUUGUAUCUACCACUCCGCUGUGAUAUAACGAGCGCUCACAGUCACGUGGCUUUCCGUUGCCCUGGAGCUCCACCCAUUUGUAGUUUGAGCAACAGAAGAUGCCUGGGACAGUUCAGCCAUAACUUCAAACUUCUCCUGCUCAUACAUGCUUGGAACGAUCUUGUCACUGAAGUGGACGCGCAACGAGAUAUCAUAGCGUGGCUCAAGCACGUUCAUCACAGUUUAAACCUUGUUUUGCACAACAGACGACGGCCUCCCGUCUGCAGCUAAACACCCCAUUAGCUUUUAGCUUUAGCCCGGUCGGACUGGGCAGCAAAGGGCUGCUUAAAUGCCGCAAACUCCUCUGCUCCGCUACUUGGACCGCUAGCGCUGACCAUAACUACCGCUUGACAGACUGACGACGCGCACCAUACACAUACUUUUUUUUCUUUUUCGAAUCUUCGGAUCACGUGCGUACCGAACCGUGGAGUGGGAUCGGUUCGGAUUUCGGAUAAACCGUGAUCCGUUGCACCCCUAAUCAAUCUAAUAAACCUAAACCUUCACCAUCCUCCCUAUUGUG